CAAUAGCGUAUAUGAAUGUUGCUGCAGUUAAAAAGCUCGUAGUCGGAUUUCACUUGGAGGGUUUUGGUCCCCCGCAAGGGGAGUACUGAAGACCUCUAGGUUCUGCCCAGGAACUAACGACUAGGUCCUCUAACGAGGUUCCUAGUCGUGCCUGGGCCUUAUACUUUAAGCAAAUUAGAGUGUUCCAAGCAGGCGUUUUGCCUUGAAUAGUACAGUAUGGAAUAUUGGAACAGGAUAGUAGUCUGUUUUGGUGGUUAUCGGAUUAUUAUAAUGAUCAAAAGGAAUGGUCGGGGGCCUCUGUAUUGCCAUGUCAGGGGUGAAAUCCUUGGAUUUUGGCAAGACAAACUACUGCGAAAGCAUUGGUCAAGCACAUCUNCAUUGA
rnacentral:rRNA from 1 species